rnacentral:rRNA from 1 species
GACGAACGCUGGCGGCGUGCCUAAUACAUGCAAGUCGAGCGGACCAUUCCUUCGGGAAUGGUUAGCGGCGGACGGGUGAGUAACACGUAGGCAACCUGCCUGUAAGACUGGGAUAACUACCGGAAACGGUAGCUAAGACCGGAUAACUGGUUUCUUCACCUGAAGAGAUCAUGAAACACGGAGCAAUCUGUGGCUUACAGAUGGGCCUGCGGCGCAUUAGCUAGUUGGUAGGGUAACGGCCUACCAAGGCGACGAUGCGUAGCCGACCUGAGAGGGUGAUCGGCCACACUGGGACUGAGACACGGCCCAGACUCCUACGGGAGGCAGCAGUAGGGAAUCUUCCGCAAUGGACGCAAGUCUGACGGAGCAACGCCGCGUGAGUGAUGAAGGUUUUCGGAUCGUAAAGCUCUGUUGCCAGGGAAGAACGCCCAGGAGAGUAACUGCUCCUGGGGUGACGGUACCUGGGAAGAAAGCCCCGGCUAACUACGUGCCAGCAGCCGCAGUAAAAC